GACGAACGCUGGCGGCGUGCUUAACACAUGCAAGUCGAACGGAAAGGCCCUGCUUUUGUGGGGUGCUCGAGUGGCGAACGGGUGAGUAACACGUGAGUAACCUGCCCUUGACUUUGGGAUAACUUCAGGAAACUGGGGCUAAUACCGGAUAGGAGCUCCUGCUGCAUGGUGGGGGUUGGAAAGUUUCGGCGGUUGGGGAUGGACUCGCGGCUUAUCAGCUUGUUGGUGGGGUAGUGGCUUACCAAGGCUUUGACGGGUAGCCGGCCUGAGAGGGUGACCGGCCACAUUGGGACUGAGAUACGGCCCAGACGCCUACGGGAGGCAGCAGCGGGGAAUAUUGCACAAUGGGCGGAAGCCUGAUGCAGCAACGCCGCGUGCGGGAUGACGGCCUUCGGGUUGUAAACCGCUUUCGCCUGUGACGAAGCGUGAGUGACGGUAAUGGGUAAAGAAGCACCGGCUAACUACGUG
rnacentral:rRNA from 1 species